GGGCUGUUAUAAAGAGGACUGUGAUCAACUGUUCUCUUUGUCCACUGAAUAUAGGAAAAGAAGUAAUGGGCUUGAUCUGUUGCAAGGCAGAUUUAGGUUAGAUAUUAGGAAAACCUUUCUGAUUAUACGAGUAUUUAAGUUGUGGAACAAGUUCCAAGGGAGUGGUGUGGAAUCCUCAUCACUAGAAGUUUCUAAGAACAGGUUAGACAAAUACCUGUCAAGGAUGGUCUGGUUUUACUUGGUCCUGCCUCAGCGCAGGGGGAUGGACUUGAUGACCUGUUGAGGUCGCUUCCAGCUUUACAUUUCUGUGAUUUGAUGAUUCUAAGCUCUAGUGUAAGGGAAAAACCUUUUGGGGACUCUGUCGUCAUGCUUCCCUCUCUUUUUUCAUGGCAGGAAGUAACAUUUUGCAAAUUGAAUAAAUAUCCAUUCAAAGUUGAACAAUUUUCACCAUUUGUAUUUGUUUCUUGGGAAUGUUGUUCUUAGAGGCUUUUAAAAAACUAAAUCGGUACAUUAACAACUAAACGGUUGUGAUUACAGUAAAUGGGUAUUUUCAUUGGCUCUGGCACAGCUGUGUGAGUUGUUAGCGGCACUUGAUGUGAACCAAAUACUGAGGGUUAGACUAGGCUAAAAAGGUGUUUUAAAACUGCUAGUGAAUACAUGUGAACUGACAUUUUUAAAAACUCCAGUAUACAGUAUUUUAAUGCAGACUGGCGCAAACUACCAAGGGAAAUGGUGGAUUGUCCAUCUCUUGAAGUUCUCAAAUCAAGACUGGAUGCCUUGUUAGGUGAUGUGCUUUAGUCAAACAAAAUUAUAGUCAAACAGUUAGUCAAACACAGGAGUAACUGGGUGAAAUUCUGACCUACUGGAGGUCAGAUUAGAUCAGCAAUUCUCAACUGGGGUCCGGGGCGCCGUGGGGGGUUGCAAGCAGGUUUCAGUGGGUCUGCUGAGCAGGGCCAGCAUUAGACUCACUGGAGCCCAGGGCAGAAUGCUGAAGCCCUGCUGCAUAGGGCUGAAGCAUGGGACCCUGAGCCUUGCCACCCAAAGUUGAAACCGAAGCCUGAGCAGCUUAGCUUUGCGGGGCCCCCUAUGUUGUGGGGCCCCGGACAAUUGCCCUGCUUGCUACCCCCUAACCUCAGCCCUUGCUUUUAUAUGCAGAAAAACAGUUGUUGUGGCACGGGGGGUGGGGGGGAAUUGGAGUUUUUAUAGCAUGCGGUGGGGUCCUUAGAAAGAAAAAGAUUGAGAAUCCCUGUAUUAAAUCAUCUAAUGGUCCCUUCUGGCUUAAACUCUAAGGAGCUAUUGAAACACACAUUAGCUGAUUGAGGUGACGUGAAAAUACAGCUCCUCUCUGUACCAGGGCCCUGAAAUGUGUUUCAUUAAAACAUAUUUGAUCACACAUUUAAACCCACCCUCCCCCUCUUUUAUCCUAUUUUAGACGAGCCCUUAAAGUGCAGUUAUGGGAAAUGAUUCACCUGUGUUGGGACAGUGAGUUGCAAACUGCUUCCUGUGUGCCCAUGGGAGCAAUUGCAUUGAAAGAGGCAGCCUAGCACUUCAGCUGUCCUACCCCAGGGAUUCUUCCAGAGAGGAGCAACUAUCAACUCAGCUACAUUGGGUGAGGCUGCCCAGGAGAUGGGUUGAAUCCCCCAGCCAGCUUGGUCCUGGCCCUUCCAUUUUCUUGGCUGUACUGACUGGAUCCUGGUCCCACACUGGAAUGGAUGGGAGCAAACAGUGUUGCUGCCAGUUUGCAGCACCGCUCCUGGAAACCACUAAUUAAGUGAAUCAGGCGCAUAGUCAGAAAAGGUGACUGUAUCUAAGCAGUACCAACCCAUGCAACAGAUCUCUUCCCUAUGUAUGUCUGAGUCAGAUGUACUUAUUUUACUAUCACAAGCAAACACUCCCCUUUAGCCCUUCAGAGCUAAUACAGCUUUGGAAACAUAAAUUAGAUCCCAUUCUCCCUCAGGGAGCAUCAAUAAAAUUGUCAGUAGCUUGAUUUUGAGAUCCAAGAUUGAGUUUGCAGCAUUGAUAGUAAAACCACGACUUGGCUUUUAAAUGAAUCACAUUUGAUGCAGAAGCAAAGAGAGAAAACUAAAUAUGGGAUUCUCCAAUUACAUAGUCCUGUGUCUGACUAGAAACACACUUCACUCUGCUUGGGGGGAAGUUUCUAUUACUAUCCUGAGCUGGAAAGAGGUGUCAAAGAAUCGCGUAGUAUUAGUUUGGAUUUCACAGUGACUGCUCCAUGAGAGCCUUAAUAUUGUGUAGUUUGGUGGUUGGUUUGGGUUGGGGUUUUGUUUUUGUUUUGUUUUUUUGUGAUCAUGGCGCAUUUAACCUUUAGUUCUUCCCCUUUAGUGCAGGGCCUGAAAAUAAUUAACAGUUUCUAAAAAAGAAAAUGAGGUGCUGCAUUUUUCCCCUUCCCUCUCACAAAGAAAGGAAUAUUUGCAUUCUUGACCAACAGCCUAAAGUGAUUGUAUUGUGCUACUAAAGGUCACAGCUGAAGAUGGAGAAGAAUUCUCUUCUAGUUAUCUACUACACUGUUCCCUCCUACCCCAUGAAAACCCUGGCAGCCUCAGGUCAGUGAUACUGCACACACAGAUGAGAUUCAGGUGACAUUUCAGAGGUCUUAUGCUGAACAGUCAAGGCCCUGCAAAGGAAAUGAAAAGCUCUUGCUGAUUGGCUGUGUUUCCUCAUUCUGGUCAGAGAAGGGCAGGAGCUGGGACUGGCAGGCAGCCAAAUCCGUCUUCAGUGGAGAUAUAAUUACUAAUAAUGACCUCCAGCCCAGGCAGCUAGUUAAGUGGCUUUUCAGGGCAGGCACCAACCCCAGUCUGGUUUAUAUGAUAUAAACUCAAUUUUGUUGGAGGGGAAGGGAGCUAAUGUCCUUCAGAGCAGGAGGUCUUUCUGGUCCCAAGGGAACUCUCCCAGCAGCAACAUCAGCCCCCAAAUACCUCACUGUCAUGAUUACCAUAACAACGCACUCUCAGUCAGCAGCAUCAUUAUUAGCACUGGUACCUUCAAUUAGAGCCAGAAUGUGAAACCUUUACUCUCACUGAUGACCUGUUACACACACAAGUAGCACGACUGACAUCAAGAAGUACAUUAUGUAGUAAGACACUACUUAGCAUAAGCAAGAGUGGCAGAAUCUCGCCCAUAGUGUUAACCCAGGGAUAAACUAAAAGAAGAAUGAUUGGAAGCUGCCAGCUGGUGCCCUAAGACCAUGGAGGAAUGUGUGCGCACUUAAGUAAGGAGAGCUGGCAAUCUAUGAGAGCAUAAUCUGCAUGGACUGGUGGUUAAAGUACAGGGUUUGGUGGCCGGGGAGCUGAGUUCUGUUCCCAACUCUGCUGCUGAAUUGCUGUCUGAUCUUUGGCAAGUCAUGUAAUUUUGUCAUGCCUCAGUUUGUCUGUCUGUAAAAUGGGGAUAAUAAUUAACUUUAUCACCAUGGCAGGAGGGGCCUAAUAGGGUUUAUGCCUUGAUUUUACAGUAGUUGAUGGGAGCUGGAAGUGUUUAGCACCUUUGAAAAUCAGGCCAAUAACUCAUUAAUGUAUGUAAUAUGCUUUCAGACCCUUGGGUGGAGGUGCAAAGUAUUGUUAUAUUACUCGCUUAUGCAUUUGAAAUAUCCACCAUUGUUGUUAUUUUGGAACAGGAAAGCCAUUGUUUCAGCUGAAUUUUCCUCACCCAGGGCUUAUAAACUCAAAUAUAAACCAUAUUUCAUACUCUGCUGAUUGCAGCUUUCUCAGCUAUUGACAUCCUUUCAGACUUCAUUCAGUCCAGUCCCUGCACUGAAACCCAACACAGGCCACUUCACCAAUGACCCAGGAGCUGUACUCCAUCUCUUUCAGAGGAUGAGGAUAGGGGUUUAGUUCAGCUUUUUCUUCACAUUCCUAAUGAAUGAGAAGACUGACAAAAUCCACUUCAGGUUCUUCUCCUUUCCAUGUUGUUUCAAUAGCAAAGAGUGAAGCUGAAUGCAAGUUAAGUUGAGCAAGUGGAUCUUUAUUAAACCCUGUGCACUGUUCUCUUUAUGUGGCUAUGAUGCUUCUAGCCCAACCCCCUCACAUUCCCUGUUUUUCUGGUGACCCCCAAUGAUUGUCCCUCCAAGGUACAUGGACCCUCUGACUCCAGUUCCACUGAUCACGGUGCACAUGUCCUGAGUGAGUGAGCAGACUGUCCAAGAGAGUCUUUCUUGGUCUGGCAUUAAGACUUAGUGUUAGUUAGCCUAAUUUUACCUGUGCAGUCCUGGGGAGUGACACACUGGGGAGUUUUGUCCAUCGGGAAAGAAUUCAAGUUAUGCCUCUGCCAUUUAAUAUUUCUAAGCUGCUAGUUAGCAGUCGUUGAGGGAAUUGCUGUGUGGUCUGUGGUCAUGAAAAUUAAGAUUGGAGUUGCCUUUAAAUUGUCUAAGAUACAGAGUGGAUGAGUGUCACCUAGGCAGAAGACACCCUUUCCUCAGCCUGUGAACUGUGCUUGAACACAUUCAUUUGUUGACACACCAGACAGUUGCAGGUAUCGUAAGUUCAAGACUGGAUUUUGAUGCCCUUUGCCCACUGCUGAUGCAGUCUUUGCCACUGCAGCUAGAUGAAAAGAGAAUCUAUUCAAAACAGGGGAACAGAUAAAAUGUUACACAUAACAUACCCUCCCUCUCACAGCUCCCCAGGGAAUAUAGCAGAAGGAGUUCUUGCCUGAUUCGUUCUUAUUUCCUUGCUCCUACAUUCUUAUGGAAAGGCAAUAGUGAGUGAAGAAUUUCCAAACGCCAGUUUCAUUAAAGCUUUUUUGAGAAGCAUCUUUCCAUAGUCUGUCUCGUCUCAUCUCUUUUUCUUUCCUUAAAAUAAAACCUUACUGUAUUUUUUAAAAACUGUAUUCCACAAACUAGUUUAAAGGGGCAUGUUCACCUCUGUAGUCAAAAUAGGCCCCAAUCUAAAUCUUAGCACCUCCAAAAUUAAUGGUGUUUAAAAGCUAACCUUCACAAUGGCCCCAUCUUCCAUAAAGGGCUGAACCAAACCUAGAGAUCUGGAGAGCCUGGAAUUUUGAGGUUGCUGAAACUCAAAUAUUGAACUCAUUCCAAGUCAGAAUUAAUAGCCUCAUAAUGAUUUAUCUGCUCUCUGAGCUAUAUGUAAAAUGCUGUUUAAAAACAUAGGGGGAAAAUGUUCCAUUCCAUCUCAACCUUGUCCUCCAGCAGACAUUGCAUUUUAUUGUCUUUCUACUGCAGCGGAAGUCAACAGGAGCCUCAACAUUGCUUAGUUUGUUGCAUCAAAAUGCAGGCUCAUUCUUGUGAUUUUUUUAUCGGAGGACAGUAGGAGGUUUUCUUUAAAAAAUAUUUAUUUAGGAUUCUGAGGACAUUCUUUACAAGAUAUGAUCAGUUCUAAAGUAGGUCAUAUUUUGGACCUCAUUAGGUAGGCAAGUGCCCUCUAAGAAAAAUGUUUUCCUCCCCCAUUUCUAUUUAUCUGUAAGAGAGACAGAUUUUGUCCUGUGAGAUUUAAGCAACCAUUGAAAACUAAGAUGGUGCUGGAAGCUUUGGGCCAUUUGCAGUCAUGUCAACACGUAAAGUGCCUGUUUGGGCUCUCCUGGGACGCUGUCAUUAUGUCUGACGUGACAGUCAUAGUUCUUGGGGCAUGGUGUCUCAGGGGAUUGAUAAUGAACACUUCCAUCACCAUCUCACCAAUUCAAAGCCAGCCUGGGUCAUUAGCAGCUACAUGUCAUUACCAUCUAAAUGCUGUGCUCAUGGAUUUAUUGAUGGGCAUUUAUGUGCACUGCCAGCCAGAAUCUGACCUUUCCUUAUUGUCAUUACUCCAAACUAAGAAACUGUAAAUACACACACAACAGCCUAUGUAUUUUGUGAGCACUUUAACAAAUCUUUCAUGCAAAUGUGCUCCCCUUACUGGCUCUGCAAUAACAGUCACUUAACAAAUGCUAUCCUCAGAGCUGUGUUGCCAUCAUCUGUGCUGGUGCGCAAGGGAGAAUGUUAUUGCCAAGUUUCUAGCAAAUCAUUACAUAUGACAGGCGGUCAGUGCUCCAACGAGCCCAAAGUUGGGUUUUUUUUAUAAUUAUCUUUCUAUAUUUUCCCCACCCCCGCUAUUUCAGACUGAGCAUUGCUCUGGGCUUGUAUGGGCUAGAUCAGUUUUCCUCCCUUUUAACUAGAGAUGGGUGCAAACAAAGACUCCAGACAAAUACCAUCAAACUUUGGGAGAGUGUGACUCUGGCUCUUUGUUAUUGGCCCUUAACAUGGUGAUAAACUAAACUUUCUUCUUCGAUCAUAAUUGGAAAGGGAAGCAGGAUAAAUCCUCUGUGACAUCAUAGCACAUUGCCUUGGAAACAGUUUUGAUGUAAUCCUUUUUUUAAAAUACUACAGAAAUGAUAUAAAAUAUUUCAACCUACUGAUACUGCAGCGCUUAGGACGAUUACUGUACAAUUCUGUAAUCAUUUAUUAAAAUAAGGGAUAGACUCGGUGGUGUGUCAAUGUUACUUGCAAUGAAUGAGGAAGAGGAGUGGGGAGAGCCUUGAUUCCCUUUUAUUAAAUGUGCUACCUCAUUCUAGGGUCACAGUACAAAAUGUUACAUCUUACAAUAGUGCUACUCUACUAUUUGGAUCAUUGUUUCAGAAUGUGUUUAUAAGGAUGGGGGAGGUGGGGAGCUAUUACUGAUGCAGGACAAGGUAUAUGACACAUACAUUACGAGAGUUUGUGCAGUGGACCAGAUGCUCUGCUGAAGUAAACUGUCAUAGUGCCACUUACUUUGAUGACAGAGAAUCUUGCCCAAUGUUUUAAACAGGCCCAGAUUAGAGUAUUUUGUGUCCCGUUCAAUAAUUUAAGUGUUUUAGGCACAAAACCCAUACACAGUAUCUCUCAUUAUUUUUCCUUAAAAAGUAAACUUACUUUACACACAUGAGAAAAUAGGAAUUGUUAUCCCUUAUCAAACCAGUCUAGUCUAGUGUCUGACAAUGGCCAGUAGCACAUGCUUCAGAGAAAGAUGCAAUAAUCCUAGUAAUAGACAAUUAUGGAAUAACAUGCCAUUAGAGCAAUUUUCUUCCUAAACUCAAGCAGUUAAGGAUUGGCUUAUCAGUUUUAAAUGUAUUGCCUGUUGUUUUAAUUGAUUGUCCCCUUGUUUUUGCAGAAGGAGAAAGGGUGAACUGAAGAGUGUGAUCUACCUUUCCUAUACCAUUCAUUAUUUUGCACACUUCUAAACUGUCCUCUCUUAUUCAUCUCCUCUCUAAAGUUAUCUUUCCCAGUCCUUUCAAUCUCUGUUCAUAUGGAAGUCUUUCCCUGCCCCAACCAUUUUUUGUCAUCCAUAUCUGAAAUCAGCCAUUUUCUGCUAUAUCUUUUAUGAGAUAGCUUGAUCAGAAGUGAACAGUAUUUAAGAUCAGGGCAUGUCAUCAGUUUACAUAAAGAUAUUUAAACAUUCUUUGUAGUAUUUCUAUCCUACUUUUUAUACUUCUUGAUAUUUUGUUAGCUUUUUGACUGUGGCUGCCCAAUGAGCAGAUGUUUUAUUGAGUUGUCCAUGGUCAUCGCCAGGAAUUUUUCCUUAGAGGUUACAGCUAAUUUGGAACCAACCUUUUUACUAUCCAAUUUAACAGAAACUGCAUGGGCUUUUUCCUUGAUGUUUCUGUCACUACAGUAGUCACCCAAGCACCACAGCUGGUGAAGUUAUCAUGUUGAU